UACGUAGGGUGCAAGCGUUAAUCGGAAUUACUGGGCGUAAAGCGUGCGCAGGCGGUUAUGUAAGACAGAUGUGAAAUCCCCGGGCCUCAACCUGGGAACUGCAUUUGUGACUGCAUAGCUAGAGUACGGUAGAGGGGGAUGGAAUUCCGCGUGUAGCAGUGAAAUGCGUAGAUAUGCGGAGGAACACCGAUGGCGAAGGCAAUCCCCUGGACCUGUACUGACGCUCAUGCACGAAAGCGUGGGGAGCAAACGAGG
rnacentral:rRNA from 1 species